rnacentral:rRNA from 1 species
CAGCGCCACGAGUGGGAGCCGCGUUUAUUGGGCCUAAAGCGUCCGUAGCUGGUCUGGAAAAUCUCUUGUGAAAUUGUGGAGCUUAACUUUACAACGUGCAGGAGACACUACCAGACUUGGAACCGGGAGAGGUAAGGAGUAUGCUAGGGGGAGCGGUAAAAUGUUAUAAUCCCUAGUAGACUACCUGUGGCGAAGGCGCCUUACCAGAACGGGUUCGACAGUGAGGGACGAAAGCCAGGGGAGCGAUCAGGAUUAGAUACCCGAGUAGUCC